UUGUAACAAGGUUUCCGUAGGUGAACCUGCGGAAGGAUCAUUA
rnacentral:rRNA from 1 species